rnacentral:lncRNA from 1 species
AUUCUACGCUCGCAAGCAGGAAGAAUAUUCUCAUAUCUGGGUCGCUCUCCCGAAUAAAUUAUAUCCAAAAUCCUCGAUCCCAACAUAGGAUCCGACAGUAUCCCAUGCUAAAUUUGCUUGCGGUGAAAGAAAGACACCUCAUAGGAUGGCACCAUGGUGUGCCCUGAGCAGCUCUUUAGCAGUUCCCGAUGCAGUCCUUCAGUGCAGUCAAGGCUGCCCUUUCCCUUUCUCCACCAGUGCGGCCGGGACCAAUUCCCAUCCCAAGGUGACCCACAGCAACACUCUCAUCUCACUUUCACCGUCGUCUCCCUCCCCUCCUCCAUUGUUUUCCUGAUAACAGUUUGGUGGGUCUGGCCACCACCCCCCCCCCCACUCCUACUUUUGUCAGGAUUCUGGUGCAAUCCCCGGUCCCAGUAUCAGAGGAGGCCUACACAAGCAGUGGCUGACAAAAAAGGACUAGAAGCAUGGAAUUAGUGAGCCCACGUCCAGAAAACAGACGUCAUAAAGGAAUCUCCGAUCUCCUUUUUCUCGUCCUUGCUCUCUUUAAUCAUUCAAAUCCAUGCUCCUCUAGUUUUUCCCUUUAACAGUUUAACCCCCCCUCACUCCUGCUCGUACCUCGAAUGAAAACAAUCAUGGCGAGAACUUCUCACGAGCCCUCCUCCUCCUC